rnacentral:rRNA from 1 species
UUAGAGUUUGAUCCUGGCUCAAGAUGAACGCUAGCGACAGGCCUAACACAUGCAAGUCGAGGGGUAACAGGGGCUUCGGCCCGCUGACGACCGGCGCACGGGUGAGUAACGCGUAUGCAACCUGCCUGUAACAGCGGGAUAGCUCCCUGAAAGGGGAAUUAACACCGCAUAACACCACGCUCUCGCAUGGGGACGGGGUAAAAUAUUUAUAGGUUACAGAUGGGCAUGCGUGACAUUAGUUAGUUGGUGAGGUAACGGCUCACCAAGACUGCGAUGUCUAGGGGUCCUGAGAGGAAGGUCCCCCACACUGGAACUGAGACACGGUCCAGACUCCUACGGGAGGCAGCAGUGAGGAAUAUUGGUCAAUGGACGCAAGUCUGAACCAGCCAUGUCGCGUGCAGGAUGACUGCCCUAUGGGUUGUAAACUGCUUUUAUAUUGGAAGAAUUGCGCUUACGAGUUAAGCGUUUGACGGUACCCAAGGAGGAAGCCCCGGCUAACUACGUGCCAGCAGCCGCGGUAAUACGUAGGGGGCGAGCGUUGUCCGGAAUUAUUGGGCGUAAAGGGUUCGCAGGCGGUCUGAUAAGUCAGAUGUGAAAGACUAUGGCUCAACCAUGGCAAGCAUUAGAAACUGCAUAACUUGAGUCAAGGAGAGGUAAGUGGAAUUCCUAGUGUAGCGGUGAAAUGCGUAGAUAUUAGGAGGAAUACCAGUGGCGAAGGCGACUUACUGGACUUGAACUGACGCUGAGGAACGAAAGCGUGGGUAGCAAACAGGAUUAGAUACCCUGGUAGUCCACGCCGUAAACGAUAAAUGGUAGGUGUCGGGAGUCAAAUCUCGGUGCCGUAGUUAACGCAAUAAGCACUCCGCCUGGGGAGUACGACCGCAAGGCUGAAACUCAAAGGAAUUGACGGGGACCCGCACAAGCGGUGGAGCAUGUGGUUUAAUUCGACGCAACGCGAAGAACCUUACCAGCUCUUGACAUCUUCUGUUCACUCUAGAGAUAGAGCUUCCCCUUCGGGGGCAGAAUGACAGGUGGUGCAUGGUUGUCGUCAGCUCGUGUCGUGAGAUGUUGGGUUAAGUCCCAUAACGAGCGCAACCCUUAUUGUUAGUUGCCAGCAUUCAGUUGGGCACUCUAGCGAGACUGCCGGUGAUAAACCGGAGGAAGGUGGGGAUGACGUCAAAUCAUCAUGCCCCUUAUGAGCUGGGCUACACACGUGCUACAAUGGACGGUACAACGGGUAGCGAGGGCGCGAGCCUUAGCAAAUCCUAAUAAGCCGUUCUCAGUUCGGAUUGUUCUCUGCAACUCGAGAGCAUGAAGCCGGAAUCGCUAGUAAUCGCGGAUCAGAAUGCCGCGGUGAAUACGUUCCCGGGUCUUGUACUCACCGCCCGUCAAG